rnacentral:rRNA from 1 species
AUUGAACGCUGGCGGCAGGCUUAACACAUGCAAGUCGAGCGGAGAUGAGGUGCUUGCACCUUAUCUUAGCGGCGGACGGGUGAGUAAUGCUUAGGAAUCUGCCUAUUAGUGGGGGACAACAUUCCGAAAGGAAUGCUAAUACCGCAUACGUCCUACGGGAGAAAGCAGGGGACAUUCGGGCCUUGCGCUAAUAGAUGAGCCUAAGUCGGAUUAGCUAGUUGGUGGGGUAAAGGCAUACCAAGGCGACGAUCUGUAGCGGGUCUGAGAGGAUGAUCCGCCACGGUGGGAGUAAGACACGGCCCAGACUCCUACGGGAGGCAGCAGUGGGGAAUAUUGGACAAUGGGCGGAAGCCUGAUCUAGCCAUGGCGCGUGUGUGAAGAAGGCCUUUUGGUUGUAAAGCACUUUAAGCGAGUAGGAGGCUACUAGUACUAAUACUACUGGAUAGUGGACGUUACUCGCAGAAUAAGCACCGGCUAACUCUGUGCCAGCCGCCGCGGUAAGAC